rnacentral:rRNA from 1 species
CAUAUGUACAUCCCACUAAAGCUUUAGCGCUUCGGGAUGAGUCUGCGUCCUAUCAGCUUGUUGGUAGAGUAAAGGUCUACCAAGGCUAAGACGGGUAACUGGUCUGAGAGGAUGGUCAGUCACAGUGGCACUGAAACACGGGCCACACUCCUACGGGAGGCAGCAAUUAGGAAUCUUGCACAAUGGAGGAAACUCUGAUGCAGCGACACCGCGUGAAGGAUGAAGACCCUCGGGUUGUAAACUUCUUUUAUAAUCUAACAAGUUCUGAGUGGAGUAUGAAUAAGCACCUGCUAACUGCGUGCCAGAAGCAUCGGUGAAGCGUGGGGUGCGAGCGUUAUCCGGAUUUAUUGGGCGUAAAGAGAUGCGUAGGCGUUUUGGUAAGUCUUCUGUCAAAGCCUUCGGCCUAACCGAAGAAAGGCAGAGGAUACUAUCAGAAUUGAGACAGAGAGGGGGAAGUGGAAUUCCCGGUGGAGCGGUGAAAUGCGUUGAUAUCGGGAGGAACACCAGUGGCGAAGGCAACUUCCUGGCUCUGUUCUGACGCUGAGGCUCGAAAGCGUGGAGAGCAAAGCGGAUUAGAUACCCGUGUAGUCCAUGCUGUAAACGUUGGAUACUGGACGUU